CCAAAAGCCAUCUCUGCUUCCCAAGCACUUUUCCUCAGGUGAGAAGCUGGCUUGCCCAGGAGCACAGAGUGAAGCUGGACACGUUCCAGCGUGUGGAAGAGCUACUGAGUCAGCUUACUGACGCCGGGAGCUCUGUCCAGACGAGCUCCCCCGGAGCUGAUGUCUAGUGACUGGACCGGAAGUUUGCUGUGGCGUUUCCGAGUACGCGGUUCAGAGAUGACACACAGAGAGGGAAGAACAGGCUGGGCACAGACCGGCUGAGACCCUUGACCACGUGGGGCCACGCUGCGGAUGCCCACCGCUUGCUUGACUCACCAGUCUCUGUGGAGCCAUCUUGGACUAACAUGCAGAACUGGAGCACCUACUAACCACAGAAAAGGGAUCAACGAUCUUUUCCUGCCCAGUGUGGCAGAAGACGUCCAACCAUCAGCUUUGCAAGUUCACACAGCUCCAUCCAGAACCCCAUUUAGACCUGACUGGUGAUCACAAAUCCUUUCCCAACUUUUAUUUCUAUACUC